AAAUACGAAGGGCUGUAGAAGCUCAGGGCCCUUGCUCACUAGAAGGAGCCCCCUGACCCCUUCUUCCAAAAAUACUUUUUGUCUUUGUCUUCGUUUCUGCAUUCAUCCCCCUUCGUUCACUCCCAUAACAACCAACAGCGACAACUGGCACCUAGGACAGGGACGUGAGUGAAGGUCUGCUGGAGCAGAGAAACUGACACUGACAAGAAGAACGAGAAUGAGAAACCCUGCGACGAGUCUGCUGACAGCUAAUAUAAGUCUGCAAAAUCAGCUGGACCA
rnacentral:lncRNA from 10 species